rnacentral:lncRNA from 1 species
GCUAGCUUAGGUAGCAAAAGAUAUUGUUUUGUUGUUGUUGCUAAUGAUUAUUCUAAAUACACUUGGGUGAUAAUUCUUGCACACAAAGAUGAUGCUUUCAAAAACUUUGUUUUAUUAUUUGCAAAGGUUCAAAAUUUGAUUGGAUUGAAAAUCAUCAAAAUCAAAAGUGACAAUGGCUCAAAAUUUCAUUUUUGUGAUUUUCCAGAAUUUUGUGAUAACAAUGAAAUUACACAUGAAUUCUCUAUUGCAAGAGUUCCUCAACAAAAUGGGAUUGUUGAAAGAAAGAAUAGAACCCUUCAAGAGACUGUUAGAACCAUGUUAAGUGAAUGCAAUUUAUCAAAAUAUUUUUGGGCUGAAACCAUAAAUAGAGCUUGCUAUACUAUGAAUAUAGUUCUUUUAAAACCAAUCUUGAACAAAAUCUCUUAUGAGUUGAUGUUUGAUAAAAAACUUGUUGUUGGUUACUUCAAAGUUUUUGGUUGUAGAUGCUUCAUUUUAAACAUCAAGGAACAUCUUGAAAAGUUUGAUAAAAAAUCUGAUGAAGGAAUCUUUUUGGGAUAUUGUGAAAAUGAAAGAGGUUUUAGAGUUUAUAAUCGAAGAACUCUGGUUAUAGAGGAAGCUAUACAUAUUACUUUUGAUGAAUCUAAUGGUGAUAUUUCCAAAAGUUGUGGUGAAGAUGAUGAUGCAGGUGUUCAAGAAGAAUUAAAGAAGCUCACAAUCAAUGACCAAGGCUCUACUUCACCAGAAAAUGAUUCAAAGGAAGAUGAAUCUCAAGAUAGUCCAGCACUAAAAGACAAUGACAGGGAUGUUAGUACGUCUAACGAUCUUCCAAGAGUCUGAAAAUUUGUUCAAAACCAUCCUAAGGAACUCAUCAUUGGUGAUCCAUCUGAGAAGGUCAGAACUCGUUCCUCCUCUAAACAAUUGAUGGAUAAUUUUGCAUUAGUCUCACAUUUUGAACCUAAAAAUGUUGUUGAUACCUUGAAAGAUGAAAACUGGAUUUUAGUUAUGGAUGAACAACUAAAUCAAUUUAAAAGAAACAAGUUUGGACAUUAGUUGAAAGAUCUCAAAAUCAUCCUAUCAUUGGCACAAAUUGGAUUUUUAGAAACAAAAUAAAUGACAAAGGUGAGGUAGUAAGGAAUAAGACCAGACUUGUAGUUAAGAGAUAUACUCAAGAAGAAGGAAUAGAUUUUGAUGAAACAUUUGUACCCGUGGCUAGGUUAGAAUCAAUUAGGAUGUUUUUGACCUUUGCAUGUUUCAAGAAUUUUAAACUAUUUCAAAUGGAUGUUAAAAGUGCUUUCUUAAAUGGUUUUAUUGAUCAAGAAGUAUAUGUUGAUCAACCUCCUGGAUUUGAAAAUGAAACUUUUCCAAAUCAUGUGUUUAAACUCUCAAAAGUUUUGUAUGGAUUAAAACAAGUUUCAAGAGCAUGGUAUGAGCGCUUAAGUGAUUUUUUGGUUGAAAAUGAUUUUAAAAGAGGUAUUGUUGAUACCACUCAUUUCACUAAACAUAGUUCAAGUGAUCUUUUAAUUGUGCAAAUAUAUGUGGAUGAUAUUAUAUUUGGUGCUACUAAUGAGAACUUGUGCAAGGAUUUUUUCACAAUUAUGCAAAAAAAGUUUGAGAUGAGCAUGAUGGGAGAAUUAAAUUUCUUUCUUGGGCUCCAAGUGGUUCAAAUCCGAGAAGGAACGUUCAUUAAUCAAGCAAAAUACACCAAGGAGCUGCUCAAAAGAUUUGGAAUGAAAGAUUCAAAACAAGUUGGAACACACUAUGUGCACAUCUACCAAGUUUGACAAGAAUGAAGAAGCUAUAAAAGUUGAUGAAAAGAAGUAUAGAGGUAUGAUUGGCAGUUUGUUUUACUUAACUGCUAGUGGACCUGAUAUCAUGUUUGUUGUGUGCUUGUGUGCUCGUUUUCAGUCUUGUCCAAAGGAAUCUCACUUGAAUGCUGUAAAAAAAAUUCUUAGAUAGUUAAAAGGAACUUUGAAUUUUAGCCUAUGGUAUCGUAAGUGUCAUGAAUUUCCUUUAUGUGGAUUCUCGGAUGCUGAUUUUGGUGGUUGUAGGAUAGAUAGAAAGAGUACAACGGGUAUAUGUAACUUUCUUGAAAAUUGUUUAGUAUCUUGGUUUAGCAAGAAAUAAAAUGCUAUUUCGUUGUUUAUAACUGAAGCGGAAUAUGUUGCUGCCGGAGUUUGUUGUGCUCAAUUAUUAUGAAUAAAAAACACAUUGAAUGAUUUUGGAUUAAUGUAUGAUUGUGUGCCUAUGUAUUGUGAUAACACUAGUGCCAUAAAUUUGACAAAAAAUCUCAUUCAACAUUCUAGGACAAAGUACAUAGACAUAAAACAUCAUUUCAUUCGCGAUCUUGUCCAUAAGGGUGAAAUUUGUGUUCAAUAUGUCUGUUCAAUAGAUCAAAUUGCUGAUAUUCUCACAAAAGCCUUACCACUGGAUCAAUUUGUGUCUUUGAGAACAAAAUUGGGCAUUUCAGAAAAAAUAUUCUAAAAAUUCUCCGGUCACUCUUUAUCGGAUGUCCGAUGUGUUAGAACGGACGUCCGACAGUGUUCUUGAUCAUUUUUUCAGAAAGUUCUGGUUCUGACGGUUGUGUCGGACGCUUCGUUUCGUUCGGCCGUCCGACACUCAAAAAUUGCAUCUUAUAAGGAAGUCCUCUGCUUGAUUCAGUUCAUAAUUCUUACUGUUGUCUCAGACGCAACUCUUCAUCUUCUCCCAUUUUCAAAAUUUAAAUUCAUCUCUCUUCUGAAACAAGUUGCAAGAAAUUGGGUUGUCCAACACCAUUAUAUUCCUAUUGCCCGUUCAUUACCCCUCAUAACUCUCUCUAACUGCCAACUACUCCAUAAAUCUCAAUUCUCACCCGAAACCCUAACCACUCAAAAUUCACUCUUUGUGGACGUUUCAAGUAUUCAUUGUAGUUCAUUUGCACUCAAAGUUCAAUUCAUUAUAUAUUUACAUUACACUCUACAACAAAAACACACUGCAUUGCAUCAUGGUGAGAGUGAGAGGCGGAUCUGUUGGGGCUGGAUGCAUAUUCAGGCUUAGAGAUGAAGAUGUUGAGGUUGUCGAACCCUUUACCAAAUCACCUAAAAAAGGAAUUGGAACUCGUGGUGGAAAGACGAAGCAGUCUGCAAAGAAGAAACAGAAUGUGCAAACUGGUGAGCCAUCUGUUGAGCAGAUGGAGGAGCAUCAAACUGAAGAGCAAAAUGCUGGGGAACAGCAAACUGCUGAACCUUCUACUAGGAAGUCAUCAAGGACAAGGUCUGGUGUGCAGUACACUGUGCCAACCGCUCAACGCAGUGGAAAGAGAAAGCGUCCUGCCAAAGAGCAAUCUGAGGCUCAAACUGCAGAGGAACCUACCCCCUUACCCAAGUUCAUUGAUGAUGAUGCUAGGGAGAGGUUCAAAUGGAUCUCGCAGAAAGGCUUCAUCACUCAGAGGACUAUCAUCCCCUACGAAUUUCGUAAACUUGACCUUGAACCAGUUUUUAAGUUUUUUGAAUUCCAAAAGUGGACUCACCUUUUGACCAUUCCAAACACAUACUAUCCUGACAUGUUUCAUCAAUUCUUUGCCAACCUUAGGAAGGGUCGAUAGCACACUGAUCUAAUCUCACGUGUCAAUUCUGUUGAUAUAGAGUUAAAUCUUGACAUUGUCAACACUGUUCUGGAAACCAAAAUUGAAGAUGGUUUUAAGGAAAAAAUUGCAAACUUCUUUUCAUAUGAAGAAUUUUCUUCUGCCUAUUAUCAUUUUCAUGUUGCUAAGUUGGUGACUUAUUUUCAAACUCAUUUUAAUACUCCUGCUGAGGCAAGACUGGAGGAUCUCAGUUCUCAAAAUCUGAUAAUCUUUUUCAUAAUUUCAAAUCUGUUGGUCCCCACUAAUGGUCAUAGGACUGAUGCCAACAAAAUGGAGAUUUACCUGUUUUAUUGCUUUCUUGAAAAAAUCAGAAUUGAUUUUGGUUUUGUUAUGUGUAAAUUCUUGCUCAAAAUUAGCACUGAUAGUCGUAGGAAACAUUCCUAUGAAAAAUUUCUGACUCCUAUCUUUGCUCAUCUUGAAAUUCCCUUCACUGAAAAAUCACCAAAAGAAAGUACAUCAACUGUUUUAGUGGUGGUGAUGUGAUAUAUUAGCAAGUAUAUGGUAACAUCAUUUUAUCAUGUGGUGAGAGUAACCCUUUGCACCUCAUGUCGGAGUGGUAAGUAGUCAUAUACCAUUCUAUAAGAGAGGGUUAAGUCUUGAAAUUUCUGAAUUUGAUUACAUUGUUAGGAGGAUGAGACACUUGUGCUCGCAUGUUGGACUACCACGUGUGUGAAGCUGUAAUUGUAUCGCUGAGUUUUGAGAUACUUAAGGACAAACAUUGUCUUGAUGUAGGGGGAUUUGAUAGUGAGACAAUUGUGCAUUUUAUUUGAUGGUAUUUGCUCUUAAUUUUGGCCACUUAUUAUGCAAAGUAACGGGUUUCUGCUCAUAAUUGGUAUUUGUAUCAGUUGCAGGCGAUUGGUAUCAAAAGUGGUGAAAAGAGGCGAAUUUCUAGAAGACUAUUCAUUCCAGAGUGUGCCCACGCCAGAGACCGCAGAGUGACGUCCAAAAUGACGGACCGCGGGGCUUAUCCCUGGACGCUUGCCACUAUUCUUGGGAGGUGUUUUAAAGUUGCGUUGGAUUAGGAGACAUUUUUAGAAGAUAUUUUGGCAACAAAUCAAGGAGAAAAAUAAGGGAAGAUAUCCUUUAUAGAUAAAGAUACGUGAUUGGCAAAACAAGUGAGGACGGCGGACAACUUUAAGUAGGGUAGCAAGAGACUAGCAGUUAUCCAUCUUUUAUUCCCUUCUAAACGUAAGUUAGAGAUUAGCGGUUGUAUUCUUUACUUUUUCAUCAAGUAAAGUACAUUAAAGCCUAGGAUUGCAUCAUCAUUAUGAGGCAAGGUUAGGUUCCUUUAUCUAGUUGAGGAAUAAUCAAGACCCGGUGCAGGGACAAUUGUGAGAUCUUUUUAAUUGUUCUGCGCUAUUUUAAAUUCUACGUUAGUGCGUAUUUAAUUAUUCUUUGUUUUAAUGGGCUAUUAUUGUUUGGAUUUAUUGGAUUAA